UUCCUGGUGGCUCAGAUGGUAAAGAAUCUGCCUGCAAUGCAGGAGACAGGGGUUCAAUUCCUCUGUUGGGAA
rfam:TPA: Bos taurus chromosome 18, whole genome shotgun sequence.